rnacentral:rRNA from 1 species
UACGGGGGGAGCAAGCGUUGUUCGGAAUCACUGGGCGUAAAGGGAGUCUAGGCGGUUUGGUAAGUGGGAUGUGAAAUCCCCGGGCUCACCCCGGGACCUGCAUCCCAAACUGCUGAGCUUGAGUACAGGAGAGGGUGGGGGAAUUCCAGGUGUAGCGGUGAAAUGCGUAGAUAUCUGGAGGAACACCGGGUGGCGAAGGCGCCCACCUGGCCUGCUACUGACGCUGAAGCUCGAAAGCUAGGGGAGCAAACAGG